rnacentral:rRNA from 1 species
GACGAACGCUGGCGGCGUGCUUAACACAUGCAAGUCGCACGGAUAUGCUCUGCUUUUUUGGUGUGCUCGAGUUGCGAACGGGUUAGUAACACGUGCGUCACCUGCCCUUGACUUUGGGAUAACUUCAGUAAACUCGGGCUCGUACCGCAUAGGAGCUCCUGCUGCCUGGUGGGGGUUGGAAAGUUUCGGCGGUUGGGGAUGGACUCGCGGCUUAUCAGCUUGUUGGUGGGGUAGUGGCUUCCCAAAGCUUUGACGGGUAGCCGGGCUGGGGGGGGGACAGGACAAAUUGGGACUGAGAUAAGGCACAGACUAGUAUGGGAGGCAAGAGAGGAGAAAAUUGUACAAUGGGCGGAAGGCAGAUGCAGCAACGCAGCGUGGGGGAUGACGGGACUGGGGUCGUAAAGCGAUUUGGCUUGGGAGGAGGAGAGAGUGACGGUAAUGGGUAAAGAAGCACCGGCUAACUACGUG